GAUGAAGAACGCAGUGAAAUGCGAUAAGUAAUGUGAAUUGCAGAAUUCAGUGAAUCAUCGAAUCUUUGAACGCACCUUGCGCUCCUUGGUAUUCCGAGGAGCAUGCCUGUUUGAGUGUCAUUAAAUUCUCAACCUUAUUGGCUUUUGCUGAUAAUGGCUUGGACUUGGGGGUCUUUUUGCUGGCUUUCAUUAGUCUGCUCCCCUUAAAUGUAUUAGCCGGUGCCCCGCAGUGGAACCGUCUAUUGGUGUGAUAAUUAUCUCCGCCGUGGACGUCUGCUAUAAUGGGUUUGCGCUGCUUCUAACCGUCUCUCGGGACAACACAAAUGACAAUUUGACCUCAAAUCAGGUAGGACUACCCGCUGAACUUAAGCAUAUCAAUAAGCGGAGGA
rnacentral:misc_RNA from 1 species